AAUUUUCUGAGGACAUAGUUGGUUCUUUUACUAAUGCAUAGAUAAUGGAAGAAAAUGAGCUUACAAACGUAGAAAAUGGAAUUUUCUGAGGACAUAGAUGGUCUCUUCUGCUACUGGAUAGAUAAUGGAGGAAAUUGAGUUUACAAACGUAGGAGAAGGAAUUUUCUGAGGACAUAGAUGGUCUCUUCUGCUACUGGAUAGGUAAUGGAGGAAAUUGAGUUUACAAACGUAGGAGAAGGAAUUUUCUUCAGACACCUUCAGUUGUGUUGCUAAUGGAGGAAGGUGGACGAAUUGGAUGUCACAAACAUAGAAAAAGCUGCCAUGAUGAGAAAUUCGUUUUGAAAUUUGACUACGUUCUUGAAUCAAUCUACAAUCUUCUACCUUCUUCUGCUGAUGCAAAGGAAACUAAUAAUUUUAUAUUAUAGGCUCAUUUUUUAAUUCAGAUUAUUAAUGUGUAAAUAAAAGUGGAUUUAUUGAAAAGUCCUUUAGUUAAAUAGUUUUCAUAUUUUAGAAAAAUGUUCCUUU